rnacentral:rRNA from 1 species
AGAGUUUGAUCAUGGCUCAGAUUGAACGCUGGCGGCAGGCCUAACACAUGCAAGUCGAACGGUAACAGGAAGCAGCUUGCUGCUUCGCUGACGAGUGGCGGACGGGUGAGUAAUGUCUGGGAAACUGCCUGAUGGAGGGGGAUAACUACUGGAAACGGUGGCUAAUACCGCAUAACGUCGCAAGACCAAAGAGGGGGACCUUCGGGCCUCUUGCCAUCAGAUGUGCCCAGAUGGGAUUAGCUUGUUGGUGAGGUAACGGCUCACCAAGGCGACGAUCCCUAGCUGGUCUGAGAGGAUGACCAGCCACACUGGAACUGAGACACGGUCCAGACUCCUACGGGAGGCAGCAGUGGGGAAUAUUGCACAAUGGGCGCAAGCCUGAUGCAGCCAUGCCGCGUGUAUGAAGAAGGCCUUCGGGUUGUAAAGUACUUUCAGCGGGGAGGAAGGUGUUGUGGUUAAUAACCACAGCAAUUGACGUUACCCGCAGAAGAAGCACCGGCUAACUCCGUGCCAGCAGCCGCGGUAAUACGGAGGGUGCAAGCGUUAAUCGGAAUUACUGGGCGUAAAGCGCACGCAGGCGGUCUGUCAAGUCGGAUGUGAAAUCCCCGGGCUCAACCUGGGAACUGCAUUCGAAACUGGCAGGCUUGAGUCUUGUAGAGGGGGGUAGAAUUCCAGGUGUAGCGGUGAAAUGCGUAGAGAUCUGGAGGAAUACCGGUGGCGAAGGCGGCCCCCUGGACAAAGACUGACGCUCAGGUGCGAAAGCGUGGGGAGCAAACAGGAUUAGAUACCCUGGUAGUCCACGCCGUAAACGAUGUCUACUUGGAGGUUGUGCCCUUGAGGCGUGGCUUCCGGAGCUAACGCGUUAAGUAGACCGCCUGGGGAGUACGGCCGCAAGGUUAAAACUCAAAUGAAUUGACGGGGGCCCGCACAAGCGGUGGAGCAUGUGGUUUAAUUCGAUGCAACGCGAAGAACCUUACCUGGUCUUGACAUCCACAGAACUUUCCAGAGAUGGAUUGGUGCCUUCGGGAACUGUGAGACAGGUGCUGCAUGGCUGUCGUCAGCUCGUGUUGUGAAAUGUUGGGUUAAGUCCCGCAACGAGCGCAACCCUUAUCCUUUGUUGCCAGCGGUUAGGCCGGGAACUCAAAGGAGACUGCCAGUGAUAAACUGGAGGAAGGUGGGGAUGACGUCAAGUCAUCAUGGCCCUUACGACCAGGGCUACACACGUGCUACAAUGGCGCAUACAAAGAGAAGCGACCUCGCGAGAGCAAGCGGACCUCAUAAAGUGCGUCGUAGUCCGGAUUGGAGUCUGCAACUCGACUCCAUGAAGUCGGAAUCGCUAGUAAUCGUGGAUCAGAAUGCCACGGUGAAUACGUUCCCGGGCCUUGUACACACCGCCCGUCACACCAUGGGAGUGGGUUGCAAAAGAAGUAGGUAGCUUAACCUUCGGGAGGGCGCUUACCACUUUGUGAUUCAUGACUGGGGUGAAGUCGUAACAAGGUAACCGUAGGGGAACCUGCGGUUGGAUCACCUCCUU